GCCUGGCUGGCUCAGCAGGAAGAGCAUGAGACUUUUGAUCUCUGGGUUGUGAGUUUGAGCCUUAUUUUGGGUG
rnacentral:tRNA from 1 species